rnacentral:pre_miRNA from 1 species
UUUGUACUCCCUCCGUCCAAAAAUACUUGUCAUCAAAAUGGAUAAAAGGGGAUGUAUCUAGAACUAAUAUACAUCUAGAUACAUCCCCUUUUAUUCAUUUUGAUGACAAGUAUUUUCAGACGGAGGGAGUACAAA